GCUGAAGAGACUCUCUUGUAGGCAGCAUAUUGUAUAUUCUUGUUUUUUUAAUCCAAUCUGCCACUCAUGUUUUGAUCAGAGCACUUAGUCCGUUAACAUUGAAGGUAAUUAUUGCUACACAUGUAUUUAUUGCCAAACCUUGUUGUCCAGUUGAUUUUAUAGUUUUCUUCAUUUGUUCUUUUUGUUUCUCCUUUCGUGGUUUGAUAGUUUUCUUUUGUAUUAUGCUUGAAUUCCUUUCUUUUUGUUCUUUGUGAAUCUACUGUAUGUGUUUGAUUUGUGGUUACCCUGGUUUUCAUGUAUAUUAACCCAUAACUAUAUCUAUUUCUUUAGACUGCUGGUCGUAUAAGUUCAAACACAUUCUAGAAGAUCUACAUUUUCUUUACUCCCUUCCCCCACAUUUUGUGAUUCUGAUGUCCUAUUUUACAUCUUCAUGUUUACCUUCUGCUGUUAAUUGUGGUUACAAUCACUUUUACAAAA